rnacentral:rRNA from 1 species
AGGGCACCACCAGGAGUGGAGCCUGCGGCUUAAUUUGACUCAACACGGGAAAACUCACCCGGCCCGGACACCGUAAGGAUUGACAGACUGAGAGCUCUUUCUUAAUUCGGUGGGUGGUGGUGCAUGGCCGUUCUUAGUUGGUGGAGCGAUUUGUCUGGUUAAUUCCGAUAACGAACGAGACUCUGGCCUAUUAAAUAGACGGUGUAUAUAAAAGUAUAUCGCACUUCUUAGAGGGGCAAGCGGCGUCUAGCCGCAUGAAAUAGAGCAAUAACAGGUCUGUGAUGCCCUUAGAUGUCCGGGGCUGCACGCGCGCUACACUGAAAGAAUCAGCGUGCGCUAUACCUAGUCCGGAAGGACUGGGUAACCCGAGUAAAUUCUUUCGUGCUUGGGAUAGGGAAUUGCAAUUAUUUCCCUUAAACGAGGAAUUCCCAGUAAUGCGGGUCAUAAGCUCGCGUUGAUUACGUCCCUGCCCUUUGUACACACCGCCCGUCGCUACUACCGAUUGGAUGACUUAGUGAG